CCUGGUAGUCCACGCUGUAAACGAUGUCGACUUGGAGGUUGUUCCCUUGAGGAGUGGCUUCCGGAGCUAACGCGUUAAGUCGACCGCCUGGGGAGUACGGCCGCAAGGUUAAAACUCAAAUGAAUUGACGGGGGCCCGCACAAGCGGUGGAGCAUGUGGUUUAAUUCGAUGCAACGCGAAGAACCUUACCUACUCUUGACAUCCAGAGAACUUAGCAGAGAUGCUUUGGUGCCUUCGGGAACUCUGAGACAGGUGCUGCAUGGCUGUCGUCAGCUCGUGUUGUGAAAUGUUGGGUUAAGUCCCGCAACGAGCGCAACCCUUAUCCUUUGUUGCCAGCGGUUCGGCCGGGAACUCAAAGGAGACUGCCAGUGAUAAACUGGAGGAAGGUGGGGAUGACGUCAAGUCAUCAUGGCCCUUACGAGUAGGGCUACACACGUGCUACAAUGGCAUAUACAAAGAGAAGCGACCUCGCGAGAGCAAGCGGACCUCAUAAAGUAUGUCGUAGUCCGGAUCGGAGUCUGCAACUCGACUCCGUGAAGUCGGAAUCGCUAGUAAUCGUGGAUCAGAAUGCCACGGUGAAUACGUUCCCGGGCCUUGUACACACCGCCCGUCACACCAUGGGAGUGGGUUGCAAAAGAAGUAGGUAGCUUAAC
rnacentral:rRNA from 1 species